rnacentral:rRNA from 1 species
AGUAACGCGUGGGUAACCUGCCUCACACUGGGGGAUAACAGUCAGAAAUGACUGCUAAUACCGCAUAAGCGCACGGGAUUGCAUGAUCCAGUGUGAAAAACUCCGGUGGUGUGAGAUGGACCCGCGUUGGAUUAGCUAGUUGGUGAGGUAACGGCCCACCAAGGCGACGAUCCAUAGCCGACCUGAGAGGGUGACCGGCCACAUUGGGACUGAGACACGGCCCAA